UACGUAGGAGACGAGCGUUGUCCGGGGUUAUUGGGCGUAAAGGGUGCGUAGGCGGUUUGGUAAGUCUUAUGUGAAAUCUACAGGCUCAACUUGUAGUCUGCAUGAGAAACUGCCGGGCUUGAGUAUGGGAGAGGUGAGUGGAAUUCCUGGUGUAGCGGUGAAAUGCGUAGAUAUCGCUUGGAACGCCAAAGGUGAAAACAGGUUGCUGGGGUUGUGCCGACGCUGAGACACGAAAGCCAGGGGAGCAAACGGG
rnacentral:rRNA from 1 species